AGAGUUUGAUCAUGGCUCAGAUUGAACGCUGGCGGAAUGCUUUACACAUGCAAGUCGAGCGGCAGCGCGGGGCAACCUGGCGGCGAGCGGCGAACGGGUGAGUAAUGCAUCGGAACAUGUCCAUGUCGUGGGGGGAUAGCCCGGCGAAAGCCGGAUUAAUACCGCAUACGCCCGAGAGGGGAAAGUGGGGGACCGCAAGGCCUCACGCGAUUGGGUUGGCCGAUGUCCGAUUAGCUAGUUGGCGGGGUAAGAGCCCACCAAGGCGAUGAUCGGUAGCUGGUCUGAGAGGAUGAUCAGCCACACUGGGACUGAGACACGGCCCAGACUCCUACGGGAGGCAGCAGUGGGGAAUUUUGGACAAUGGGGGCAACCCUGAUCCAGCCAUUCCGCGUGAGUGAAGAAGGCCUUCGGGUUGUAAAGCUCUUUUGUCCGGAGCGAAACGGUUGUCGUGAAUAGCGGCGACUACUGACGGUACCGGAAGAAUAAGCACCGGCUAACUACGUGCCAGCAGCCGCGGUAAUACGUAGGGUGCGAGCGUUAAUCGGAAUUACUGGGCGUAAAGCGUGCGCAGGCGGUUUUGUAAGCCAGAUGUGAAAUCCCCGGGCUUAACCUGGGAAUGGCAUUUGGGACUGCAAGGCUCGAGUGCGGCAGAGGAGACUGGAAUUCCUGGUAGCAGUGAAAUGCGUAGAUAUCAGGAGGAACACCUGUGGCGAAAGCGGCUCACUGGACCACAACUGACGCUGAUGCGCGAAAGCUAGGGGAGCAAACAGGAUUAGAUACCCUAGUAGUCC
rnacentral:rRNA from 1 species